rnacentral:tRNA from 1 species
UCCCCGAUAGCUCAACGGUAGAGCGGCUGACUGUUAAUCAGUAGGUUCCAGGUUCGAAUCCUGGUCGGGGAG